rnacentral:rRNA from 1 species
UACGUAGGGUGCAAGCGUUAAUCGGAAUUACUGGGCGUAAAGCGCACGUAGGCGGUCCGUUAAGUCGGAUGUGAAAGCCCCCGGCUCAACCUGGGAAUUGCGAUGGAGACUGCAAGGCUAGAAUCUGGCAGAGGGGGGUAGAAUUCUACGUGUAGCAGUGAAAUGCGUAGAGAUGUGGAGGAACACCGAUGGCGAAGGCAGCCCCCCUGGGUCAAGAUUGAU